rnacentral:rRNA from 1 species
CCUGACGGUAGUCGUAUGCUCGUCUCCGAGACUAAGCCAUGCAAGUCCAAGUACACGUCCUUGAACGACGGAAACUGCGAACGGCUCAUUAAAUCAGUUGCGAUCUACUCGGCGUUCCGCGCCGCCGGAUAACCGUAGUAAUUCUAGGGCUAAUACGUGCGAAGCGCCGAAGCCGCGAGGCGACGGCGUUCUCGCCGGAUGUAGGAACCGACCCGGGGACCGCCGGGGCAACCCGGCGCCCCCGAGACGGGGCGAACCACGGUGAAAUGACGGAUCGUCGGCCCCGCGCCGGCGACUCGCCGAAUGAGUUUCUGACCUAUCAACUCGAGACGGCGGGGUAGAGGCCCGCCGCGGUAACGACGGGUAACGGGGAAUCAGGGUUCGAUUCCGGAGAGGGAGCCCGAGAAACGGCUACCACUUCCAAGGAAGGCAGCAGGCA